rnacentral:rRNA from 1 species
GUGGGGAAUAUUGGACAAUGGGCGCAAGCCUGAUCCAGCAAUGCCGCGUGGGUGAAGAAGGUCUCCGGAUCGUAAAGCCCUUUCGACAGGGACGAUGAUGACGGUACCUGUAGAAGAAGCCCCGGCUAACUUCGUGCCAGCAGCCGCGGUAAUACGAAGGGGGCUAGCGUUACUCGGAAUUACUGGGCGUAAAGGGCGCGUAGGCGGCUCUGUUAGUCAGGCGUGAAAUUCCUGGGCUUAACCUGGGGACUGCGCUUGAUACUGCAGGGCUUGAGGCCGAGAGAGGGUGGUGGAAUUCCCAGUGUAGAGGUGAAAUUCGUAGAUAUUGGGAAGAACACCGGUGGCGAAGGCGACCACCUGGCUCGGUUCUGACGCUGAGGCGCGACAGCGUGGGGAGCAAACAGGAUUAGAUACCCUUGUAGUCC